AAAGCACACAACAUUUCCUUGACAUCCUUGGAUUCACCCCACCACUAACUGCCAUACACAGGCCUGCCGCUGCCAGUCCCCCACAGUUCUAUCAUAUGGUUCCCUGACCAGGAACGGCAGACAAGAGACUCCUGGGGCUUUCUCAGUUUGAGUCCCCUGCCAUUCAUGACUAGGACCGGACUGCAUCCUGCAUUAAUUCCUCACUUCUACACUCUGGAGCUGUAAACUUGUCAUUGCCGGUUCACAAACAAUACUGACCCAAUUUACCACAGGUGAGCAACCUCCCAGAGAUUGCCUCUGGGCCAGGCCCCAGGUGGGUUUUCUCCCCC
rnacentral:lncRNA from 1 species